CACCUUUCAGGGUUGCACCUGGAGAGUGUCCAAUACUCUAUCAGUCUCGACUAUGGGAGGGAGAGUCAAGUUGAGGCAUACCUACUCCAUUCCUAGCUUGGGCAGUGGCUAGAGAGUGGAAGGCAAUCUGCUACAAGU
rfam:Ornithorhynchus anatinus chromosome 2, whole genome shotgun sequence.